rnacentral:rRNA from 1 species
AUAUCAAUAAGCGGAGGAAAAGAAACCAACCGGGAUUGCCUCAGUAACGGCGAGUGAAGCGGCAACAGCUCAAAUUUGAAAUCCGACCCUUUUCGGGUUCGAGUUGUAAUUUGCAGAGGGUGUUUCGGGCGCGGCGCCGGUCUAAGUUCCCUGGAACGGGGCGUCGAAGAGGGUGAGAAUCCCGUACGCGACCGGCGACCAAGCCCAUGUGAAACCCCUUCGACGAGUCGAGUUGUUUGGGAAUGCAGCUCUAAAUGGGUGGUAAGUUUCAUCUAAAGCUAAAUACCGGCCAGAGACCGAUAGCGCACAAGUAGAGUGAUCGAAAGAUGAAAAGCACUUUGGAAAGAGAGUCAAACAGUACGUGAAAUUGUUGAAAGGGAAGCGCUUGCCGCCAGACCUGCCCGCGGGCGAUCAGCCGUCGUUUUCGGCGGCGCACUCGCCCGCGAUCAGGCCAGCAUCGGUUCGGGCGGCCGGACAAAGACCUCGGGAACGUGGCUCCUCUCGGGGAGUGUUACAGCCCGGGGCGUCAUACGGCCAGCCGGGACCGAGGACCGCGCUUCGGCUAGGAUGCUGGCGUAAUGGCGGUAAGCGGCCCGUCUUGAAACACGGACCAAGGAGUCUAACAUCCAUGCGAGUGUUUGGGUGUCAAACCCACACGCGGAAUGAAAGUGAACGGAGGUGGGAGCCCGUCCGGGCGCACCAUCGACCGAUCCAGAUGUCUUCGGAUGGAUUUGAGUACGAGCAUGGCUGUUGGGACCCGAAAGAUAGUGAACUAUGCCUGAAUAGGGUGAAGCCAGAGGAAACUCUGGUGGAGGCUCGCAGCGGUUCUGACGUGCAAAUCGAUCGUCAAAUUUGGGUAUAGGGGCGAAAGACUAAUCGAACUAUCUAGUAGCUGGUUCCAGCCGAAGUUUCCCUCAGGAUAGCAGUAACGUUUUCAGUUUUAUGAGGUAAAGCGAAUGAUUAGAGGCCUUGGGGAAGCAACUUCCUUAACCUAUUCUCAAACUUUAAAUAUGUAAGAAGCCCCUGUUACUUAGUUGAACGUGGGCAUUCGAAUGUAUCGUUACUAGUGGGCCAUUUUUGGUAAGCAGAACUGGCGAUGCGGGAUGAACCGAACGCGAGGUUAAGGUGCCGGAAUGCACGCUCAUCAGACACCACAAAAGAUGUCAGUUCAUCUUGACAGCCGGACGGUGGCCAUGGAAGUCGGAAUCCGCUAAGGAGUGUGUAACAACUCACCGGCCGAAUGAACUGGCUCUGAAAAUGGAUGGCGCUCAAGCGUGCUACCCAUACCUCGCCGCCAGGGUAGAAACGAUGCCCUGGCGAGUAGGCUGGCGCGGAGGUCCGUGACGAAGCCUUGGGGGUGACCCCGGGUCGAACGGCUUCUGGUGC